rnacentral:rRNA from 1 species
GUCGAGCGGUAACAGGAGGUAGCUUGCUACUUUGCUGACGAGCGGCGGACGGGUGAGUAAUGCCUAGGAAUCUGCCUAGUAGUGGGGGAUAACGUUCGGAAACGGACGCUAAUACCGCAUACGUCCUACGGGAGAAAGUGGGGGACCUUCGGGCCUCACGCUAUUAGAUGAGCCUAGGUCGGAUUAGCUAGUUGGUGAGGUAAUGGCUCACCAAGGCGACGAUCCGUAACUGGUCUGAGAGGAUGAUCAGUCACACUGGAACUGAGACACGGUCCAGACUCCUACGGGAGGCAGCAGUGGGGAAUAUUGGACAAUGGGCGAAAGCCUGAUCCAGCCAUGCCGCGUGUGUGAAGAAGGUCUUCGGAUUGUAAAGCACUUUAAGUUGGGAGGAAGGGCAGUAACUUAAUACGUUGCUGUUUUGACGUUACCGACAGAAUAAGCACCGGCUAACUCUGUGCCAGCAGCCGCGGUAAUACAGAGGGUGCAAGCGUUAAUCGGAAUUACUGGGCGUAAAGCGCGCGUAGGCGGUUUGUUAAGUUGGAUGUGAAAGCCCCGGGCUCAACCUGGGAACUGCAUCCAAAACUGGCAAGCUAGAGUACAGUAGAGGGUGGUGGAAUUUCC